GACGAACGCUGGCGGCGUGCUUAACACAUGCAAGUCGUACGGUAAGGCCCUUUCGGGGGUACACGAGUGGCGAACGGGUGAGUAACACGUGAGUAACCUGCCCACAACUUUGGGAUAACGCUAGGAAACUGGUGCUAAUACUGGAUAUGUGCUCCUGCUGCAUGGUGGGGGUUGGAAAGCUCCGGCGGUUGUGGAUGGACUCGCGGCCUAUCAGCUUGUUGGUGGGGUAGUGGCCUACCAAGGCGGCGACGGGUAGCCGGCCUGAGAGGGUGACCGGCCACACUGGGACUGAGAUACGGCCCAGACUCCUACGGGACGCAGAAGUGGGGAAUAUUGAACAAUGGGCGCCAGCCUGAUGCAGCAACGCCGCGUGCGGGAUGACGGCCUUCGGGUUGUAAACCGCUUUCAGCAGGGACGAAGCUUUUUGUGACGGUACCUGCAGAAGAAGCACCGGCUAACUACGUG
rnacentral:rRNA from 1 species